ACUUGCACUGUAAAAAAUGUUAGCACAGUCUGAGUUUUCUGACUCACUUUAACGAUGUGUUCAAACAACUAACUUGCUAAUGAAUCCGUAUUUAUCGAGUAAUUUAAACCUUAUUGCGAAGCAAAACACGGUUAGUCCAAAUCAGGAUGAACUAGCUCGGAAUCCCCAUGUACAAUGACACUGUUCGAGUAAUCGCCAUGUAUUCAUACCCGCAAUUGGCGGACACUGUGUUCCGAAACACGAAUACGAUUUUGUGGAAGCAUUUUUGCGCACGGUUCUACCGUGUUGAAUGACACGUUGCCGUGUUUUACCCCUCUGCGUCGAGUUUAAAAACCCGAAUGGGGUUAUUUGGGCCGCGAUCUUGAGGGACAUUAACACCAAUUAACACUGUGGGUUGUUAACUUACUCGGUUCAGUUUCGCGCCAAAUGCAGCGCCGCGUGGGCCUCAGUCGCCAUCUUUGUGCGAUCCAGGGAGGUCGUGUCUGUGCUGCGUCUGACGUCUUGUUGAAUACGGCUCAAGAUGAGCAGAAUGAAGGUAAAUCUCCAAGUCCCACAGUCAGAGCUCAAGACUGUGAGGCAGGACUUCAUUCCUUGAUGAAUGCGGCUCAACCAAGGGCUCAACUGCUAACAGGAUAAGAAGACACGAACAGAAGUUGGAUGCUUUUUAGAAUUUCCUCUCGUACCGCUAUAGUGUCAUAGGUGGAGGAGAGCGGGGCUGCCAUCUCCGAAGACAACACGCCUCUGAGUGUGCGCCUCCUAGUUUGUGCGGCCCCGUGUUCAACGAGAAAAUUCAAUGCCCCAGCGGUCAGAACUCCCAGCUAGUAUUGACGCAAUAGCUCUCCCAAAUGUCGACCGGAAAGUCGUUAAAAAAAUCGUUGCGACGAUCGGCUCGACAAGCUGAAGACCGCGCCAGAGAAUGCAUGUGAAACGGCACCUCUACUCUCCCAUCGCCAGGCCCAAAGACGUGUUGUUCAUAGGUGUCUUUCACAAUACUAGUGUUGCUGAUCGCGGAGGACCACUGUCCACUGCUCGUCCGCCGUGGUGUUACUUCUGAUGAGGCUCAGAGCGCAUGUGUAUUGUUUACUGUGAACAAUCUGUUGAAAUAUAUAAUGAGUAGAUCUGUA